rnacentral:rRNA from 1 species
AGUGAACGCUGGCGGUAGGCCUAACACAUGCAAGUCGAACGGCAGCACAGUAAGAGCUUGCUCUUACGGGUGGCGAGUGGCGGACGGGUGAGGAAUACAUCGGAAUCUACUUUUUCGUGGGGGAUAACGUAGGGAAACUUACGCUAAUACCGCAUACGACAUACGGGUGAAAGCAGGGGAUCUUCGGACCUUGCGCGAUUGAAUGAGCUGAUGUCGGAUUAGCUAGUUGGCGGGGUAAAGGCCCACCAAGGCGACGAUCCGUAGCUGGUCUGAGAGGAUGUACAGCCACACUGUAACUGAGACACGGUCCAGACUCCUACGGGAGGCAGCAGUGGGGAAUAUUGGACAAAGGGCGCAAGCCUGAUCCAGCCAUACCGCGUGGGUGGAGAAGGCCUUCGGGUUGUAAAGCCCUUUUGUUGGGAAAGAAAAGCAGCAGGUUAAUACCCCGCUGUUCUGACGGUACCCAAAGAAUAAGCACCGGCUAACUUCGUG